UAAUGUUAUAUAAAAAUCAAUGUCAAGUAAUAAAGAGCACCAAAGAGACCAUAGCACAAUUAGUGGUUAUGUGAAAUCAAUUAUUUGCAACAUAAAUUCAAAUUACAAAUAACUAAGUUAAUAAAAUUGGUAAAAGAACUAAAAUACUAAAUAUGUAUUUGUUCACUUUUUCUUUCCUCCGCAGUACUUAUGUUCAAUACAGUACUGCUUUUACUCUUCUGAUACAUACUACAUUCGUGAAACAAAAUCGAUUAUUGUUGAGAUCAAUGAAUUUAAUGUUAUAUGCACGAAAAUGUUUCGUACAAAAAUACACAAUAAAAAUAUUAUAUUUCAAAAAAUUAAGAAAAAAUAAGUUUUCCAACAAAAAUAUGGUCACUCCUGGAAAUUACACACGACCGUCAGAAUGGCUCAAGUUCAAGAUUGAAUUUCCCACCAACUUAAAAAGAGUUUAAAUAAGCAGUGACUACAAAUACACAAAGACUGGACAUGCCUUUAUUCUCGAGGGGUCUCAGACACCCCCAUGUGAGAUAGGUCCGUACGAUCCCCUGUGGCUCGAGGGGCUUAGAAUACGGCCACGGUAUCCCCUGCCUGUCGUAAGAGGCGACUAAAAGGGGGAUGUAAAGGAACGAGUAAGAUGAGUGGACAUAAAAGUACAGAAAGAGUGUGAGAUUUAAAAGUACGGACAAGUAUGAGUGGAAUUAAAAGUACAGAAUCAUAUAGCAUAAAUAAUGUAAUUGAAAAUGGCGCGAUAAUGCGCGUGGCCGAUAACUUUUCGUUGGGCAAAAAGGGACAGAUCCAAGUCCCUAGAUUACGCCACUCUCAAUAGAGAAAAACUUAUGAAGUGAAGUAGUAGGUUCGUACGUAACUCGAGCACACUUGGCGUCCAUCGCGCCUGUUUUACCAGUCCCAACGACUCCAGAUCCAUGUGUAGUCACCUCCCGAUGCAAAGGAUGUGGAGAUUAGUGAUUUAACGUUAGUGGUAGUUCCCGCGACUUACAUGAAGCUAGUCGGAAGGAAUAAUAAAAUAUGAUUAUUUUUAAUUUUUCUUAGUGUAUUACGUUUGUAAAUCGUUUCCGAUUGAUUAUGCAUUUUCAGCUUUGGGGUCCCGGAUCGGAUCAGGUCGUACUCAUCACUAUUCCGAACAAAUUCCAUGGCGUUGAAUAAUUUCGACACGAACUCUGACAAUAUAUCCAGUUGCCUUCCUUCACAAUUUUCAAUGGUGUUUGCAACUGAGUUCCAUAUCUGAGACAGAAUGUCAAUUGUACUCUUCUCGCCCGCGUAAUUUAGUUUUCCAAUCAUGGACGUCAGUGUCAUCUUGCGAAGAGAAGAAAGAUUGAAAUCAUUAGGAUUUUCUACAUUUGAAAUUCAAAUUGCACGAAUUUGAAUACUACCUUAAUUAACCAUAACUUACAAUACGAUUCCAAUUUUGCACAGUCGGUUGUCGCUGCAAUUCUAUGAACGUGCUAGGAAUCUCAUUAAGCACGCAAGCCAACUGAUUUUGCAAAAACAAUUUCGUUUUCGAAGGUAAAAAUCGCGCAAGAGGUAUCCACGAAGGAUUCUCAAGAUCCUCUAAUUCCAUCAGAAUGUUGUGUCUUGUUUCUUCAGCCAAUAAACUGUAAAGUCUUCCGAUUAGGUUCUCCAAUAUGAUUACUUCAAAGCUGUUAUUGCGCUUCAUCAAAGCGGCAUAGACUCUUAAUAAAUAUUUCACGUGGCUGGCACAGAGUUCUGAUGAACCAAUGCUGAAAAACAAAACUAAAAUUAAAAAAUAAGAUCUAUAAUUAAUUUCUGUUAAAAGGAAGAGAUUAAAGAAUUAAAGAACUGAAACGUAACCACUGGUCUCAAACAGAGAAAUAAAUGAUUUACAAACCGGCCAAUAAAACACCAAACAUCUGAGCUGAGCAUAGAGCUCCAAAGCCUAUUGUUUAGCAAAUGCUUCAACAAAAUUAAUUCCAUAGCAUGAAACCCAUCUGCUGGAAUCUGACUGAUAAGACAGCAGAUUGGUACCAAGGUGGCUUCGUACAGAGAAGCUUUUUCUGGUCUUUCUCCAAUUUCAUGAGCACCUUGUAUUUUUAUUUGACCCAUGCAGAUCUCUUCCUGUACUUUUUAAGAGAAUUAAAUAUAAGCAUCAUGACAAAUGUAAUCAAAUAAUUAGAAUAUAUGAAAGAAAUGAUUGCAAGUGCAACAUGGUAAGAUUCAGAUAUUAAAAUUUAAUGAGAAGUAUAAAUAAAUUAUAUACCAGACAAAUUGUUUUCAUGUUAAAAAGAAUUCAGAAAUACUUACUAUCAUUAAUGUUUGUAAAAGCGAUAUCAAUUAUUGACUCAGAGCCCAACGUCCAAUUACAGUGUUGUUUAUAUGGUAUACUAAUUAAUUUCUUCAUGAUGCUGAUUGUUAAUAAAUGAUAGCCUAAUCUAUCGAUUUUUGUUUGAUUGCCAUACUCGAAGAAUGCCUGAAAUAUUAUUAAAAAGUGAAUCUUUGAACUAGUGAUUGAAUAAAAGUAAAAAAACGAACCUGUUUGAAAUGGGGUGUUUCAAAGACAGUAUUUAGAAAUGGUUCAACACUCCUUGAAAUGUGUAAAUUCAGCAAUGUAAUUGUUCUGCUAUCAGUCUGCGUUUCUUUCUCACACAAAGGAUAACACCUGAUUGUGGAGAAUAAUAAAAAAUAAGGCAGUUAAAAUAUACAUAUAUUAAGCCAUUCCCAAAGUUUGAUAAUCAUAAUAAUUUUUUGGAUAAUUUAAUAUUUUAAAAUUAAAAAUGGAAUUGACUGCAACUGAAUACCUGUGCAUUUGUAAAAGAAUUUCAAUUACACGGAGAAGAAUUUCGUUGUUUAUAUCGGAUGAAUAUGUUGCAAAUAAUUUGUCCAAUAUUUUUAACAUGCGACCAACAACUUUGAUGCUUCUCUCCUCGAUUGGAUUGGAAGAAUCCUAAAUCAAACAUAAAUUAUAUUAAACUUAAGGUUUAUUUUAUUUCUUGAAUAAUUAUCCUUUCUUCAAUUAAUAAGCACAUAUAAUAUUAAUUAAAAUGUACCUGAAAUAAUGAAAGCGUUCUAAUUACAUCUUUCGUCAUUUCUACGAGAUGAGAAGUUACGCUUUCCACAUUAAUUCUCUUCACCACAAGUUGAUGCUUGAUUGCCAUAUCACAAAAACUUUUGGAUGUUUCUACGAACGUAUGUGGAUUUAAAUCAUGCGAUAUAGUCAUUAAUGACCCAAUAGAAUCGAUUACUGUAAAAAAAAA